GACGAACGCUGGCGGCAUGCCUAAUACAUGCAAGUCGAACGAGCUUCCGUUGAAUGACGUGCUUGCACUGAUUUCAACAAUGAAGCGAGUGGCGAACUGGUGAGUAACACGUGGAUAACCUGCCCAGAAGAAGGGGAUAACACCUGGAAACAGAUGCUAAUACCGUAUAACAACGAAAACCACAUGGUUUUCGUUUGAAAGAUGGCCUUUGUGCUAUCGCUUUUGGAUGGAUCCGCGGCGCAUUAGCUAGUUGGUGAGAUAAAGGCUCAC
rnacentral:rRNA from 1 species